GAUGAACGCUGGCGGCGUGCCUAAUACAUGCAAGUCGAGCGAACGGACGAGAAGCUUGCUUCUCUGAUGUUAGCGGCGGACGGGUGAGUAACACGUGGAUAACCUACCUAUAAGACUGGGAUAACUUCGGGAAACCGUAGCUAAUACCGGAUAAUAUUUUGAACCGCAUGGUUCAAUAGUGAAAGACGGUCUUGCUGUCACUUAUAGAUGGAUCCGCGCUGCAUUAGCUAGUUGGUAAGGUAACGGCUUACCAAGGCAACGAUGCAUAGCCGACCUGAGAGGGUGAUCGGCCACACUGGAACUGAGACACGGUCCAGACUCCUAAGGGAGGCAGCAGUAGGGAAUCUGCCGCAAUGGGCGAAAGCCUGACGGAGCAACGCCGCGUGAGUGAUGAAGGUCUUCGGAUCGUAAAACUCUGUUAUUAGGGAAGAACAUAUGUGUAAGUAACUGUGCACAUCUUGACGGUACCUAAUCAGAAAGCCACGGCUAACUACGUG
rnacentral:rRNA from 1 species